AGGGAAAGAGCUCAGUGGUAGAGCACUGCUUAACAUGCAUGAGGUCCUGGGUUCAAUCCCCAGUACCUCCA
rnacentral:tRNA from 1 species